UACGUAGGGUCCGAGCGUUGUCCGGAAUUAUUGGGCGUAAAGGGCUCGUAGGCGGUUUGUCGCGUCGGGAGUGAAAACUCAGGGCUCAACCCUGAGCGUGCUUACGAUACGGGCAAACUAGAGGUAUGCAGGGGAGAACGGAAUUCCUGGUGUAGCGGUGGAAUGCGUAGAUAUCUGGAGGAACACCGGUGGCGAAGGCGGCGUUCUGGACUGCAACUGACACUGAGGAACGAAAGCCAGGGGAGCAAACGGG
rnacentral:rRNA from 1 species